GAUGAACGCUAGCGACGAGGCUUAACACAUGACAAGUCGGAGGGGCAGACAUAAAGGUAGCAAUUACGUUUGGUGGCGACCGGCGCACGGGUGAGUAACGCGUAUGCAACCUACCUAUCAGGAGGGGGACUAACCCGGCGAAAGUCGGACUAAUACCGCAUAAAACAGGGGCACCGCAUGGUGAUAUUUGUUAAAAAUUUAUUGCUGAUGGAUGGGCAUGCGUUCCAUUAGGUAGUUGGAGAGGUAACGGCUCACCAAGCCUACGAUGGAUAGGGGAACUGAGAGGUUGGUCCCCCACACUGGUACUGAGACACGGACCAGACUCCUACGGGAGGCAGCAGUGAGGAAUAUUGGCCAAUGGGCGAGAGCCUGAACCAGCCAAGUCGCGUGAAGGAAGAAGGAUCUAUGGUUCGUAAACUUCUUUUGCAGGGGAAUAAAGUGCAGGACGUGUCCUGUUUUGUAUGUACCCUGAGAAUAAGGAUCGGCUAACUCCGUG
rnacentral:rRNA from 1 species